rnacentral:rRNA from 1 species
CGGAGGAUCCAAGCGUUAUCCGGAAUCAUUGGGUUUAAAGGGUCCGUAGGCGGUUUAAUAAGUCAGUGGUGAAAUCUGGUCGCUCAGCGAUCAAACGGCCAUUGAUACUGUUAGACUUGAAUUAUUGGGAAGUAACUAGAAUAUGUAGUGUAGCGGUGAAAUGCUUAGAUAUUACAUGGAAUACCAAUUGCGAAGGCAGGUUACUACCAGUGGAUUGACGCUGAUGGACGAAAGCGUGGGGAGCGAACAGGAUUAGAUACCCUGGUAGUCCACGCCGUAAACGAUGGAUACUAGCUGUUCGGAGCAAUCUGAGUGGCUAAGCGAAAGUGAUAAGUAUCCCACCUGGGGAUACGUUCGCAAGAAUG